CGCUCUUCCCUGCCCCUUUCUCCACUCUUCCCGCUCUUUCCUCCCAUCUUUUUGUAACCCACAGAGGACACUGCCUGGAAUAUUGAGCGACGGGGGCACUCCCGUCUACGAGUCGGGCGCCUUGCUCCCCUCCGCCGCCUGUUCAACACUUCAUUCCUCUUAGCAGUGUCUGCCAUCCACCCAUAAACCUCCUCAUCUCCGCCGGAACACCAUCCACCACCAUUCCUCCUUUUCCCUGAUCCUCAGCAGCGUCGCCUCCCUCCGUCACCCACUCUCUGCAGCGUCGCCUCCCUCAGUCAGACUUUUGAUCCAUUCCGCUGCCAAAACAGGUAACCGUCGCCCCAUUUUUGGGUUCCACCUUCAAAACCGCUAGACCUAUCUCUCCCCAUCCUCUCCCACCACCACCCCUCUCCCCAACACCCCCAAACCCGAUGUUAAUCAUUUCAAGCUUGCUGAGCACAGCGUUGCCCAGAAGCUUUCUCGCUUCCCCCGAAAUAUCACGCUUCCCUGCUUGACGAACAUCACCACCAACUCCAUGAGUAGGUCAUUCCAGCCGUCGACCUGGUCCCUCUGCUUAUCGGAGUUCUCGAAGUAAUUUUGGAUCUAUUUCGCCAAUUUAUACAGUUAAGGGUGGACCAAAUUCUGGGGUACUUUUUUAUGGGUGUGAAAUUUACAUAAACAACCUUCUUUGAGUUAUUCCAAUGUAUCAUUUUGUUUGUAGUUCAUUUUGACAGAAAGUUUAUUUAUGUCAUAGGGAACAGCCAAGUUUUGUAGUUUUUUCUGAUGGUGUUGUCAAAUAGAUGGUUUAUAUGUGAUGAAGCAAGACAACUUGCAAUUUUUACUUAACAAACUGAAGGAUGCAGGAAAGGAAUGAUCUAUACGCAAUGGUGAAGUUACCCAUGCACGGAUCAAUGAUGAUGAAGAAAUUACUGAAUGCAUUAACAGUUAAAGUAUUUUGAAAUAUCAAUGUACAUAUGAAUAGGUGAGACAUAUAAUGUAAUCUUUUUAUGCAACAAACAUGGUUUUUGGCAUCUUAAGUUCUGGUUUUAACAGUGUGGAGACAUGUAAUCUUUUUAUGCAACAAAUGUGGGUUUUGACAUCUUAA